UACGUAGGGGGCAAGCGUUGUCCGGAAUCAUUGGGCGUAAAGCGCGUGUAGGCGGCUCGGUAAGUCUGCUGUGAAAGUCCAGGGCUCAACCCUGGGAUGCCGGUGGAUACUGUCGAGCUCGAGUCCGGAAGAGGCGAGUGGAAUUCCUGGUGUAGCGGUGAAAUGGCGCAGAUAUCAGGAGGAACACCAAUGGCGAAGGCAGCUCGCUGGGACGUGACUGACGCUGAGACGCGAAAGCGUGGGGAGCAAACAGG
rnacentral:rRNA from 1 species